AUAUGUACUAUUUACAAUACAAUACAAUAUGGAUACUAAAAGGAUUUCUACUCUCACAAUGGUAUUUUUAUUGGCUUUCUUUGUUAUUGCAUCAGAUUUGUGUCAAGAAUCUGAAGGAGCAAGUGGAUACUAUUCAGGUUACGCCUGCAAAACAGAUGCAGUAUGUCUACCCAAUUGUCCUAGAGGACAAAUUGGAAAAUGUUUGAAUGCGAAGUGUUGGUGUAUGGGCUAUCCACCAAAUGUCUAAAAUAUUCCUAGUGUUUAAUAUACUUCAAAUUUCAAAUUAAGUAUUGAAAAAUUGGAAUGUACUUAUAGUU